rnacentral:misc_RNA from 1 species
AUAUCAUUGACAAAAGCUUUAGUGAUAAUUUAAAGAUCAAGGAAGAGCAAGGGAGAUCAAUAUUGAAGAUAUCCAACUUUAGCAAGAUAUCCAAAACAGUCCUUGCACAACUAAAGCUUCCAUUAACAACGUAAAAAGCAAAGGCAUCUCGCUCAUAACAUGGAGAUGAAUUUUAACCACACAAACGAAAAUAUCACAGAGAUGCAAAAUAUAAUUAAAAGCUAAGAUAAAAUUAAUCAAGCUCUAUAAGGUAAAUUAAGGAUAAACCUCAAUGAUGGAUCUUAAACCUAGCAUGGGUUUUAUCUUAUAGUCGCUAAAGCCAGCAUCGAAAAAUAGUUUAGCCCAUUCUUUUUCAUUUCUCUCUUGACCAGUAACUAAGGUCAUCAUCAGCAUAUCAAAAAAGAGUUGUGUUUCCAUGGCAUCCUUAUCUUUUUUGCGGCUUCCUAUCACCAUGUCUAUGAUAAUUAACUUCCCUCCUUCUCUUCCUUUAAUGGCUUCUUUACAUUGCUUUAUAAUCUUCACGCAUUCUUCAUCACUCCAGUCGUGUAAAAUCCACUUCAGUAAAAUUGCAUCGGAAGGAGGAAUCUCCUCAAACAUGUUGCCUCCAACAUACUUCAAGUUGUCAGUGCCUUGCAGACCAGCCACCACAUGUGGGAGGUCAAACACAAUGCAAUCCAACUGAGGAAAUGCUUUAGCUAUGGCUUUAGCCACGGUUCCUGUUCCACCCCCAACAUCAACCAAUGACUUCAGCCCCUCAAACGCUCCCUCACACUCAUUGAUCAGCACAUGCAUAACGAGCCUAGCAUCACUAGCCAUUGCUUCGUUAAAGAAAUCGUUGAGCUUGGGUUCAUGUCCAGCAUACUCCCAAAAUGGCCUCCCAUGAGCCGUAUUAAAUGGAGUAGGAUCAUCGUUUAGGAACCAAGUGCUCACAUAAUGCCAUGGUCUUGUUAAAAUAGGAUCAAGCAUGGCCAUCAAGAACGGCGUGACACUCAAGGGGUUGUCCUUGAGGAGGAGCUGAGAUGCACUGGUGAGAACAUACCCUUCUUCUUGAUCAUCAUCUUCACUGAUUUUUGCUUGAGCAAAGAAACCAGAGUGAACCAAAAGGCGCAUUAGGCGAGGUAUACAGCGAGCUUUGGCUGGGUGGACAGGUAUAGAAGAAAUAAGCUGGGAAAGGGUAAUGGGUUUGCCAUGGUUGUGGAUCACAUCUGGGAUUCCUAAUUGAAUUGCACAUUUAAGGGACAUAGAGUUGAUGAAGUUAAAGAUGUGGUUCCAUACAUGAGCUUGAGCUUGAAGAAGCUCAGCAUCAUGAUUUGCAUCAGCCAAAUUGACCAUCUUUUCAGGCUUUCUUGAGGAAGUGUGUAUGAUAAUUUGGUAUGGUUGAUGCAAUACUAAGAACAAUAUAUAGAGUGCUGAUGGGUGGAUAACUUCGAU